CACACACACCAGACCAGUCUCACCCUCUCCCUCUCACUCUUCAGCGCAUCUCCCACUCACCCUCUUCUCCCACUCCGUCUAACAGUCAUCACUUCGCCGAUCAUCGUCUUCUUUCUCCCACUCUGUCAAACAGUCAUCAGUUCGCCGAUCACCCUCUUCUCUCACUCAGUCCAUUUGACAUUCAUCACCUAGCUCGAAAGAUUUGAUCGAGGUGUACAGAGGUUUGAUAAAGUCUCCACUCUCACUGAAACGGCUUUGAGUUCCUCAAUCUACGCGGUUUCUCAAAACUAAAAUAAAAGGAUUGUUGGUGGAGGAGUUGGGUUGGUGUCAAAGCAUUGAAACGUUCAUGGUCUAGCAAUUAUUUGUGCUACUUGUGCUACUAAUCUGGCCAUUGUUACCGGUUGCUAUUGCGUAUGGCUGCUGCAAAUGCUGGACGGAUUGACCAUACUCAGCCUGGCCCUAUUGACAUGUCGGUGUUAAAGUUGCAACCCACCCAUUGGUCAGAAGCUAUUUGGAAUGGGCAGGAUCUAGGGGCCCUUACUUGCCGUGGCCGUACUGAAGAGUUCUCCAACCGAGAGCCAAUGGUGGACGAUCGAGUCGUUGACAUCAUUAAGGCAUUGGGUUUGGAGGGACCCCUGAGGCAACUGGGCAGAGAGCUUGACCAUGGCCUAAUAACAGCCUUAGUGGAGCAAUGGAGGCUCGAGACUCACACCUUCCACAUGCCACAUGGUGAGAUCACCAUCAAAUUGCAGGAUGUGGAGGUGAUUCUCGGGUUUUCUGUUGAUGGUGACGCUAUAAUAGGGAGCACACAGAAAAAUUGGGUGAAUGUGUGCGAGGAUUUCCUUGGCUUUCGACCUAUAAAUCAAGAGCAGCAUAAGGAACUUAAUGGCCAAAGGAUUCUCAUCAAACGACUUUUGGAGCAAGUUGCUAAUCCAUUGCCGCCUAAUGUCGAAGAGGAUGAGCUGCAUAAGUAUGCAUGAUGCUAUAUCCUAGCGCUACUGGGGGACACAAUAUUCAUGGCAAAAUCCGGCGAUAAGGUGCAUCUAAUGUCGGUGCAGCAGUUGGAAGACCUUCGCAACCCAAGAAGGUACAGUUGGGGAAGUGCUUGCCUUGCAUGGUUGUACCGAGAGCUAUGCAGGGCAAGCCAUAAGGACACCAGUCAAAUUAGUGGUUGCUUACUAUUGGUCCAGUAUUGGGUAUGGGCCAGGUUCCCCUAUUUGUGCCCGGCAGUUGAGCGUGGCCCGCCAGUGGGCGCUUAUGGUCCUCCAGUGCGUGGUCCUCUGUACCUGAAGUGGUUGUGGGUCCCAAACAAGAAAAACAGGCCUGCCCACAUCUUUAGGGAUAGGUAUCGCCAGCAAAUAGCUUCAAUGUUGCUAGACCAGGUGGUGUGGCAGCUGUAUGAAGCCGAUUUUGAGGACCUUCUGCCAUGGUGCGUUGUAGGGAGGGCUGUGUGGACGGCAACGGUGCCGCUUGUAUGUUUCCACUUAGUAGAGAUACAUACAUCGGAUCGUGUCGUUCGUCAAUUUGGGAUGAUCCAAGAAAUUCUCGGCAAUGUUGACACUGACACCGUACUUCAUGCCAUUGAUUUGAGGGGGAAGGUGGGCGUUGAUUGGAUGCGGAAACAUGCUCUGCAUAUCAUGCAUUGGGGUAACCGCCUUCAACAGUGUUGUCAAGCAGUGCUUGAUGAUAUGCCUCCACAGCAUCAAUACUUCGACUGGUUCAAAAGGGUAACUCGGAGGUUCAUCGAUAUUCCUGGUGCUACAUUGAUUUUAAUGAUUGAAGGAUACCUCCAUUUGUUGAGCCGUCACUCGGUGGGCACGGAGGACCACCAGGACAUUACUAAUGUGCUGACUGUAGUGCAGGCGAUUGGCCGUGUACGACCUCCAGACCCUAAGGUCCCGAAUGAGGAGGCAGUUACUCCUGCGGCAGCAACUACUCAGAGGCCAAGCACUACUGAGAGCCUAAGCACGAGCACAACUCCUACCAGACGUCUGCUUGUUCUUACCCCUCGAGUUGUCCCUACCCCUAAUCCCCCUCCACCCACCCCACAUCCAUCCCUUAGCCCCACCAUCCCUUCACCCACCUUACAUCCAUCCCGUAGUCCCACCAUCCCUCCACCGACUCCACAUCCUUGUCCUGGGUUUGACAUUCGUCCACCCACCCCACGGUCAUUUCCCGAGGUGUCACCCAUUCCAUCCUUUGACUUGGGUAUUCAUCUAACCCUACCUGACAUGCAGCAGGAGCCCCCCUCCGACAGUACGUCUAUUGGCCCUUCAUCAGCCAUCAACCCACCCCAUGUUCAGGUUGAGCAGGCUGGUGGGUUACCUGCUCAACCAGAAGGUCGGCCGAAACGCAUAUCAAAGGCACCUCCUUGUGGGACAGGGGGGCACAAACAUGGAUACAACGCUGGGCCCGAGGCAUCUGACGAAGGACAUGCAAGACCUCUUCCUCAUUAUACGAGACGACAUAAGGUCCAAAAAAGAUGAUGAUGCUAUGAAAAGGCUGGAAGCACUGAAAUUCAAGUUCGCACAAUAAAAGUAGCAACAAAUAACUUUUCUAAUGCCAAUAAGCUUGGAGAAGGUGGAUUUUAGGUCGAUUUUGAAGUGGCUGGACCGUAUCUAUUUUUGAACUUUGCUCUGUACGUAGGGUCCAAGGAAACUGAUGAAAAGGCUAAUGAGGUUCUAAAGUAGGAUAUUUUGGAUUGUUGGAAGCCAGAAAAUCACUAUCGAUGGACUGAAUCUAAGUGUUAAACAUUUCUAGAUUUAGACCAUUUAUAGUGAUUUUCUGGAGUCCAACAAUCCAAAAUAUCCUACUUUAGAACCUCAUCAGCCUUUUCAUUAGUUUCCUUGGACCCUACUCUAAGGUCCACGA